UACGGAGGAUGCAAGCGUUAUCCGGAUUUAUUGGAUUUAAAGGGUGCGCAGGUUGUUUGAUAAGUCAGUGGUGAAAGUCUGUCACUUAACGGUAGGAUUGCCAUUGAUACUGUUAGACUUGAAUAUGGAUGAGGUAGGCGGAAUGUGUAGUGUAGCGGUGAAAUGCAUAGAUAUUACACAGAACACCGAUUGCGAAGGCAGCUUACUAAUCCAUCAUUGACGCUGAGGCACGAAAGCGUGGGGAUCAAACA
rnacentral:rRNA from 1 species